rnacentral:rRNA from 1 species
AUUGAACGCUGGCGGCAGGCCUAACACAUGCAAGUCGAACGGUAACAGGAAGCAGCUUGCUGCUUUGCUUUCGAGUGGCGGGCGGGUGAGAAAUGUCUGUGAAACUGCCUGAUGGAGGGGGAUAACUACUGGAAACGGUACCUAAUACCGCAUAACGUCUCAAGCCCAAAGAGGGGGACCUUAGGGCCUCUUGCCAUCGGAUUUUCCCAGGUGGGAUUAGCUAGUAGGUGGGGUAACGGCUCACCUAGGCCACGAUCCCUAGCUGGUCUGAGAGGGUGACCAGCCACACUGGAACUGAGACACGGUCCAGACUCCUACGGGAGGCAGCAGUGGGGAAUAUUGCACAAUGGGCGCAAGCCUGAUGCAGCCAUGCCGCGUGUAUGAAGAAGGCCUUCGGGUUGUAAAGUACUUUCAGCGGGGAGGAAGGGAGUAAAGUUAAUCUCUUUGCUCAUUGACGUUACCCGAAGAAGAAGCACCGGCUAACUCCGUG